UGGGUUUUUUUUUAGGGAGGAAAUUGUAAAAGUUUCGCUAAGGUGACCUGCGGAAGGAUCAUUACCAAUGGAAAAAAUGCCUCGGGAACGCCGGUGAAAGCGCGAUUUCCCGGACAUUCUCCAAUCCUGUGAAGAGUCGGCCUCUAUUGCCUCGGCGGGUGGGCCAGUCGGUCCCCCGCCGGAGGAGGUAUACAACCCUUAUCUAUCGGUGUAGUCUGAACGAAAUAUCGAAUACAAGUUUAAAACUUUCAACAAUGGAUCUCUUGGUUUCUGGCAUCGAUGAAGAACGCAGCGAAAUGCGAUAAGUAAUGUGAAUUGCAGAAUUCAGUGAAUCAUCGAAUCUUUGAACGCACAUUGCGCCCCCUGGGUAUUCCGGAGGGCACACCUAUCCGAGCGUCAUUGCAACCAUCAAGCUAUGCUUGGUAUUGGGUGGUCGCCUACGGGCCGCAUGGCCAGCAGGCGCCUCCGAAAGCGAUGGGCGACAGCGUCCGGCUUCGAGCGUGAUAGCGGUUUCUAACAUCCGAUCGCUCUGGAAGCUUGGUUGGUCUGGCUGCCCGGUGCAUAGCGCCUGCAAUCUCUCUACGAUUGACCUCGGAUUAGGUGGGGUUACCCGCUGAACUUAAGCAUAUCAAUAAGCGGAGGAAAAGAAACCAACAGGGAUUGCCUCAGUAACGGCGAGCGAAGCGGCAAGAGCUCAGAUUUGAAAUCUGGCCCCCUUGGGGGUCCGAGUUGUAAUCUGUAGGGGAUGCUUCGGAGCCAUACCCGGCCUAAGUUCCUUGGAACAGGACGUCGCAGAGGGUGAGAAUCCCGUAUGCGGCCGGCGGACGGUUUCCGUGUGAAGCUCCUCCGACGAGUCGAGUUGUUUGGGAAUGCAGCUCUAAAUGGGAGGUAAAUUUCUUCUAAAGCUAAAUACCGGCCAGAGACCGAUAGCGCACAAGUAGAGUGAUCGAAAGAUGAAAAGCACUUUUGGAAAGAAGAGUUAAAAAGGUACGUGAAAUUGUUGAAAAGGGAAGCGCUUUGCGACCAGACUCGACCGUUGCGGAUCAACCCUCCCCGCGGAAGGGCUCACUCCGCCUCGGUCGGGCCAGCAUCGGUUCCAGCGGUCGGAUAAAGGCGUCGGGAAUGUGGCUCCUCUCGGGGAGGGUUAUAGCCCGUCGUGCAAUACGAACCUGCCGGGACCGAGGACCGCGCUAGUAGAUGCAAAAAUCUUGGCCUAUGGCCCUAACGCCCCUCUUUUAAAAGGAAA
rnacentral:rRNA from 1 species